rnacentral:rRNA from 1 species
AGUGAACGCUGGCGGUAGGCCUAACACAUGCAAGUCGAACGGCAGCACAGUAAGAGCUUGCUCUUACGGGUGGCGAGUGGCGGACGGGUGAGGAAUACAUCGGAAUCUACUUUUUCGUGGGGGAUAACGUAGGGAAACUUACGCUAAUACCGCAUACGACCUACGGGUGAAAGCAGGGGAUCUUCGGACCUUGCGCGAUUGAAUGAGCCGAUGUCGGAUUAGCUAGUUGGCGGGGUAAAGGCCCACCAAGGCGACGAUCCGUAGCUGGUCUGAGAGGAUGAUCAGCCACACUGAACUGAGACACGGUCCAGACUCCUACGGGAGGCAGCAGUGGGGAAUAUUGGACAAAGGGCGCAAGCCUGAUCCAGCCAUACCGCGUGGGUGAAGAAGGCCUUCGGGUUGUAAAGCCCUUUUGUUGGGAAAGAAAAGCAGCAGGUUAAUACCCCGCUGUUCUGACGGUACCCAAAGAAUAAGCACCGGCUAACUUCGUG